AUGGAGAACACUAAGAAUGUUAGAGACUGUAACAAAGAUCCCUCAGCUCUUUGGAAGUGGAAGUGGACUGGGUCCGAGUCCGACGCAAGUGUAGCGGGUGGAGCGGAGACAGUUCGCUCAUACCUCUUUUCUGUCUGUUGCUGCUCCGUUAAUGUCUGGUCUCGUUCCGUGUUUAAUGUUUAUUUCAAAGAUCCAAUGGUUAUUCCUUCUUCAACAGAACAUGAAGACGAUGGUUUAAAAGUUGUUUACAAGAAGUGGGCUCGACAUCCCUCUGAAAUCAGGGAGGCAUGUGAAGAGUAUGUAGGACAGUGACACGGCUUAAAAGCUAGUAUUCAUGCUUUUAGAACUCAUUUCAUUACGCUUAUGCUUACCAAAGUAGCGUUUCCAUGAUUACUUCAAAGAUCGAAUGAGUUUUCUUAAGGAUAAAUCGUUAUCCAACAUGCCCACGGUCUAUGGGCUCAAAACAAGUUGGAAUGACAAUGGAGGUGUAUGGAUGAAUCAUGAAUGAUAAGUAUUGGAGUCUAGAACAUAGAGUGGUGGUAAUUGGUGAACACAACAAGAGAUAGAUACUAGCAUUCUUCUUGAUGCCUUCAGAUGCUGUGGAAGUGGAAGCCAUUAGAAUUGAGUGAGUCCUGAAAAGUGAAAACCCUCCACGAUACAAAGGAUACAAUAAUGGGGAAAGUUUUAUGUCAGGAGAAACAGAAGCGAUUGUUAAAAACUUGAAAUCCGAUCCAAAACAUCCAAAUCGAUGACUUCAAAGUUGUAUAACUUAAGAGUAUGUACUAUUUUUCUACUUUUUAUUACCAAAGCUAUGAUGUAAGCCCUUAAUGUAAAAUAGUAUGUGAGUUUAUUCGGACGAUUCUUUUUUUUUUUGCAAUAUAAGACUUCGGAUCAAGAUCCAAGUAUCCAAUAAGAUUUGACUUGUGUAUAUCACAUUCUCCACCCUUCCAAGAUUCCGUCUAGAUUCAGAGCUAUUUUCUCGUAAAUUGAUCGUCCUCCUUUUGUAAUGGUUGAAUUUUGUUGCAAAAUAAAUAAAAAAUAGUUAUUUUUUUUUCUAGAAGGGGCAUCUAUAGUCUAUAUAAAACGCUGAUGAACUUUAUGAAUAUACUCCGUCUACAUACAUCUAUUGGCUUAUUUUGGUCCUCUUUCAACAGCUGGCAUGACGGUAAUUCCUAAUUAACCUAAUGUGAUAAGAAGUUAAUUGUCCACAGAAACGUGUCUACAUUCAUCAUACCAAUAAAAGCGUUUUGUUUUCGAUACACACGAAGUUACACGUUGCAUUUACCUAUAAAACAAACCCAACCGCAUGCACCACAAGAAUCAUCAGAUAUCUUCCAAAGCCUUAAAAGAUAAACAUAAGAAUCACCGACAAAAAAACACCAUGGGAGUACUCGACGAAGCUUUUAUCCAAGCUCCAGAACACAGACCCAAAACUCAUCUCACAAACUCCGGUGACUACAUUCUCUCCAACGAGAUCCCGACCAUCGAUCUCUCCUCUCUCCAAGACCCACACUGCGACAAGACAGCGCUAGCGGCAGAGAUUGCAGAAGCAUGCAUGAGAUGGGGCUUUUUCCAGGUGAUCAACCAUGGUUUGUCGUUGGACUUAAUGCGUAGGGUGGAGAAGACGGUGGCCGAGUUUUUCAGUCUAACGUUGGAGGAGAA